UACAGGGGGUGCAAACGUUGCUCGGAAUCAUUGGGCGUAAAGCGCACGUAGGCGGUUCGUUAUGUCGGAUGUGAAAGCCCUUGGCUUAACCGAGGAAGUGCAUCCGAAACUGGCGAGCUAGAGUACGAAAGAGGAUCGCGGAAUUCCCGGUGUAGAGGUGAAAUUCGUAGAUAUCGGGAGGAACACCGGUGGCGAAGGCGAUCACCUGGGGGUUGUUCUGACGCUGAGGAGCGAAAGCUAGGGGAGCAAACGGG
rnacentral:rRNA from 1 species